rnacentral:tRNA from 1 species
UCCGGGAUCGUCCAACUUGUCAGGACUCCUGAUUUUGUAUCAGGCGAUGAGGGUUCGAAUCCUUCUCCCGGAG